AUUCAAGUAGUGUAGUGGUUUGAGUGUUGGACUAUGACUCUAGAGACCAGGUUUCAAAUCCCUGCUCAGCCA